rnacentral:ncRNA from 1 species
CAUGGAAAAAGGCAAAAUUAGUGAAAGCUAGUGACGCAAAACUACAGGGACUUCAGUAUGCCUUUUGCGGCAGACCAGUUAGCCAGUUACCCGC